AGUGAACGCUGGCGGUAGGCCUAACACAUGCAAGUCGAACGGCAGCACAGUAAGAGCUUGCUCUUACGGGUGGCGAGUGGCGGACGGGUGAGGAAUACAUCGGAAUCUACUUUUUCGUGGGGGAUAACGUAGGGAAACUUACGCUAAUACCGCAUACGACCUACGGGUGAAAGCAGGGGAUCUUCAGACCUUGCGCGAUUGAAUGAGCCGAUGUCGGAUUAGCUAGUUGGCGGGGUAAAGGCCCACCAAGGCGACGAUCCGUAGCUGGUCUGAGAGGAUGAUCAGCCACACUGGAACUGAGACACGGUCCAGACUCCUACGGGAGGCAGCAGUGGGGAAUAUUGGACAAUGGGCGCAAGCCUGAUCCAGCCAUACCGCGUAGGUGAAGAAGGCCUUCGGGUUGUAAAGCCCUUUUGUUGGGAAAGAAAAGCAGCAGGUUAAUACCCCGCUGUUCUGACGGUACCCAAAGAAUAAGCACCGGCUAACUUCGUG
rnacentral:rRNA from 1 species